GUUAAAAAGCUCGUAGUUGGAUUUCGGGAUGGGCCAGUCGGUCCGCCUAACGGUGUGUUUACUGGCUGGUCUGUUCUUCUUCGCAAAGACUGCGUGUGCACUUUACUGUGUGUGCGUAGGAUUUACGACGUUUACUUUGAAAAAAUUAGAGUGUUCACGGCAAGCUACCGCUUUGAAUACAUUACCAUGGAAUAAUAAUAUAGGGCGUAAGUUCUAUUUUGUUGAUUUCUAGGACAUACGCAAUGAUUAAUAGGGACAAUUGGGGGCAUUCGUAUUAACGCGUCAGAGGUGGAAUUCUUAGAUUGCGUUACGACGAACUACUGCGAAAGCAUUUGCCAAAGAUGUUUUCAUUGAUCAAGAACGAAAGUAUGGGGAUCGA
rnacentral:rRNA from 1 species